UGGGGAAUUUUGGACAAUGGGCGCAAGCCUGAUCCAGCCAUGCCGCGUGCGGGAAGAAGGCCUUCGGGUUGUAAACCGCUUUUGUCAGGGAAGAAAUCUUCUGAGUUAAUACCUCGGGAGGAUGACGGUACCUGAAGAAUAAGCACCGGCUAACUACGUGCCAGCAGCCGCGGUAAUACGUAGGGUGCAAGCGUUAAUCGGAAUUACUGGGCGUAAAGCGUGCGCAGGCGGUUUUGUAAGACAGAGGUGAAAUCCCCGGGCUCAACCUGGGAACUGCCUUUGUGACUGCAAGGCUUGAGUGCGGCAGAGGGGGGCAUGGAAUUCCGCGUGUAGCAGUGAAAAUGCGUAGAUAUGCGGAGGAACACCGAUGGCGAAGGCAAUCCCCUGGGCCUGCACUGACGCUCAUGCACGAAAGCGUGGGGAGCAAACAGGAUUAGAUA
rnacentral:rRNA from 1 species